rnacentral:rRNA from 1 species
GACGAACGCUGGCGGCGUGCUUAACACAUGCAAGUCGAACGCUGAAGCUUGGUGCUUGCACUGGGUGGAUGAGUGGCGAACGGGUGAGUAAUACGUGAGUAACCUGCCCUUGACUCUGGGAUAAGCCUGGGAAACUGGGUCUAAUACUGGAUACGACAUGCCACUGCAUGGUGGUGUGUGGAAAGGGUUUUGCUGGUUUUGGAUGGGCUCACGGCCUAUCAGCUUGUUGGUGGGGUAAUGGCCUACCAAGGCGACGACGGGUAGCCGGCCUGAGAGGGUGACCGGCCACACUGGGACUGAGACACGGCCCAGACUCCUACGGGAGGCAGCAGUGGGGAAUAUUGCACAAUGGGCGGAAGCCUGAUGCAGCGACGCCGCGUGAGGGAUGACGGCCUUCGGGUUGUAAACCUCUUUCAGCACGGAAGAAGCGAGAGUGACGGUACGUGCAGAAGAAGCGCCGGCUAACUACGUG